UCAAUUAUGUUUCUGCUUUGGAGAUUCUGGCAAGCUGUUGAAGGAGGUAUCUAUAACUACCGUGUUUCUGGAUCCUACGAAGAGACUUUCAUGAUGCUUCACACAUUCCACAGUUCUUCACAGCCUGUGAACCGUCAUGCUACUAAAAGAAUGUCCACAUGAAUACUGUUGGGGGAAGUAACCAGGUGAAGACUUUAGAAAAAGACCCCCUUGGGCCCAGGUAAAGAUCAUUACUGAAAUGUCCUUAGCAGGUUUGCAUGAUUUUCACUUUCACUGGCUUUGGAUAUAAAACAGUUGUUAAUAUCAGUGUUCUCUAUGCCCUCUGGCCCACAGCAGUAUUUGAAAUGUAGUCUAAAGCUGUUUAGAAAUGUUCUAAACAUUUCAUUCUUAGGUGUUCUCAACAAAGCCAAUAUCUCUUCAGAAAAUAUACUGAAGACGUCAAGAGCUUUCUGUGGCUGGUGGCCUGUAUCUUCAUGUUGUCAAUUGCUGGCAUUCAUGAUAAAAUAGCUCCAUGAAUGAACCAUGUCUCUGUUACUGUUGUGGUUGAAAUCUUAACUGUGAAAUCUGGACCCCUUUGAAGGUCUGAACUGUCUUCUUUCUAGACUCUGACCUUCUAAUAGAGUGACUCACACCCUUCCCAAUGCUGUGACCCUUUAAUGCAGUCUUCAAUGUUGCAUUGACCCUCCUAAACCAUAACAUUAUUUUCAUUGCUACUUAGUAACUUUAAUCUUGUUACAGUUAUGAAUUAUAAUGUAAAUGUCUGUGUUUCCUCAUGGUCUUAGGUGACUCCGGUUAAAGGGACAUUUGACCUCAAAAGGGAUUACAGUUUUCAGGUUGCUUUAGAAAGACUCCCUUGGACUCAGUAGGUGUUCACUUCAGCAACUAAGGACAUGACUGAAUGAAUGAACUCCAGGCAGUCCAGUCCCAGCUGGUCCAGUACCGGACAGCGAGUAAGAGCAAAGGACACAGUGUCUGAGGGUGGUGUCUGUCAGAGCACUACAGCCUCCAGCAAGAAGUGGGAGAGGUUCCCAGCUACCUGCUCUGCCAUGCCGGCUGGCAGGACCUGGGAGAGGUGGAAACAGCUUGGGACUGCAGAGGAGCUGAGAGGUGCAGAGGAAAAUGGGGGUCACCAGAUGAACACCAGACUUGCUUUUUGUUCAGCUUUGUUGAAGCCAGCGUGUAGCCCAUCUCCGCUCUAG
rnacentral:lncRNA from 1 species